CCUACGUGAGGCAGCAGUGAGGAAUAUUGGUCAAUGGGCGCGAGCCUGAACCAGCCAAGUAGCGUGAAGGAUGACUGCCCUACGGGUUGUCACCUUCUUUUAUAAAGGCAUAAAGUGAGGCACGUAUGCCUAUUUGUAUGUACUUUAUGAAUAAGAAUCGGCUAACGCCGUGCCAGCAGCCGCGGUAAUACGGAGGAUCCGAGCGUUAUCCGGAUUUAUUGGGUUGAAAGGGAGCGUAGAUGGGUUGUUAAGUCAGUUGUGAACGUUUGCGGCUCAACCGUAAAAUUGCAAUUGAUACUGGCAGCCUUGAGUACAGUUGAGGUAGGCGGAAUUCGUGGUGUAGAGGUGAAAUGCUUAGAUAUCACGAAGAACUCCGAUUGCGAAGGCAGCUUACGAAACUGCCACUGACAUUGAUGCUCGAAAGUGUGGGUAUCAAACAGGAUUAGAUACCCCUGUAGUC
rnacentral:rRNA from 1 species